rnacentral:tRNA from 1 species
GGUGGCUCAGUGGUAGAGCGCUUGCCUUGCAUGCAUGAGGCCCUAGGGGGUUCGAUUCCCCAGCACCA